CAAAUCUCGCGGUUGAAAGUCAAAAAUGGAAGGAACUGGACGAGCCUUGCGGGUUUCUGUACGGCUGCGAAAUGGAGUCCCUGCCAGCUGUUUCUGCGUGUCUUCAGUUCACAUUAUCUUCCUUCAGUGAACAUGUGCCCAAGGACAGUUGGGAACACUUGAAAUGAACCAGCAAUGAAAAUCAAAUAGAAGCUGUUUCCAAAAUAUACUUGUGAGAGCUGUAUAACUUCAAAUGUUGCUGUGAAAUUUGUAUUGCUCACCUAGACUGCAAUGCAUGUGAGGAAAAGAGCAACCAUCUAGCAGUGUUGAUGAAACUGAUAAGAAUUAGCUCAAAAUAACUCCCAAACUCCAUACUUAUCUAAGUAAGAAUGGAGCCAAGAAUGUGUUUGUCACAUGGGUUAUAUGUGAAACCAUUCAGAAAAUAACUCUUGUUUACAUAAUGAUUUUAAACCAGAUAUGCUGUUUCUCUUCAGUGAAGAAAUCGUAGGGUAACGAAGUCUCUAUUAUAACAUUUUGUACCCUUGAUUGUGUAAGAAUCCAUCAGGUUCCCUAUUAAUCAUGUCAAAAUUGCAUUUGUAUGGCAUAUAUACCACCUAUUUAAACAACUGUCAUGAGAUUCCCUUUAGACUAGGUGCUGGUUUCUCCACUGAGAUAUAUAGGCUUGAUCAAACAGAUGCACAGUGCUAUCUUGGUAGUGGGAGUGUUCAAGGAAUCAACCAGCCACUAUGCUGACAUAUCUUAGAAAUACAUAGCACCACUCUGAUACUGCUUCACCAUCAUGAAACCUUUGCACUACUGAGGGAAGAGGUGGGCCCAAGGGGGUGGCAUGAGUUAUAUGGUUCCUUCCAGCUGUCCCAACCUGGGAAACACCAUCAAAACCUGCAGUGUAGGCACCCAUAUGAUGAAAAAUGCCCCUUAUAGGCACGGUCCUGUCUACAAGCCCUAGUGUGACACAACGUCAAAUGCAACUACAACCAAUCAUACUCCUCCCCAGAAAAGGUCAAACCCCCUACUCUGCACCAAAUCACCCCCCCACCCUGCUAUGGAAACCUGAGCCAGGGUACCCCACAGCACAGAGGAUAAGGCAGGCAGUAUGGGACUCUGGCAAGUCCACAGGCAUGCUGAACUAGGGAGGGCUCACCCCAUCCCCCCAUGGCUUCCUGGAGCAGUUAUCAAAGACCACACUGGAUACCUUGUCACUUUUUCUCCACUGAUGUUCAAUAAAAUCUGGACUGAUUUA